rnacentral:rRNA from 1 species
GACGAACGCUGGCGGCGUGCUUAACACAUGCAAGUCGAACGGUAAGGCCCUUCGGGGUACACGAGUGGCGAACGGGUGAGUAACACGUGGGUGAUCUGCCCUGCACUUCGGGAUAAGCCUGGGAAACUGGGUCUAAUACCGGAUAGGACCCUGGGAUGCAUGUCCUGGGGUGGAAAGCUUUUGCGGUGUGGGAUGGGCCCGCGGCCUAUCAGCUUGUUGGUGGGGUGAUGGCCUACCAAGGCGACGACGGGUAGCCGGCCUGAGAGGGUGACCGGCCAGACUGGGACUGGGAUACGGCCCAGACUCCUACGGGAGGCAGCAGUGGGGAAUAUUGCACAAUGGGCGCAAGCCUGAUGCAGCGACGCCGCGUGAGGGAUGACGGCCUUCGGGUUGUAAACCUCUUUCAGCACCGACGAAGCGCAAGUGACGGUAGGUGCAGAAGAAGGACCGGCCAACUACGUGCCAGCAGCCGCCGUAA